UUGGGCAGCUCCUAUACUAAAAUUGGAUGAAAUUGGAACAGUACAGAGAAGAUGAACUUGGCCCUCGCGCAAGGGUGCCAUGCAAAUUCAUGAAGCGUUCCAUAUUUUC
rfam:Tupaia chinensis contig100190, whole genome shotgun sequence.